rnacentral:lncRNA from 1 species
AACCGGGGAUGGGGAAGGGUGUCCGCCACCGGAAUUUCCUUCCCCCCCAGGGGCAGGCCUUAAGCUCUAGGACAAGCCCAUUUGUUGAGUGGGUAUAUCGAGGCCAAAGGAACGGCCCCAACGUUCUGGGUGAGGCUAUACUAAAUCGGGCCUCCUGAUUGGAGGGCCAGAGCUUCGAGAUAGCGGAAGAGAAAAGCAAUAUCGUGGCUUGGAAAUAAACCAAGAGAAAAAAAAUGAGUUGGAAGGAGAGACAGCGGGAGAGGGAGGCUGGACAAAAAUCUAGGAGCAAGACAGAGACAGAGAGACAACCAGCUCCAGGCCUGGCUCACGCACUGACUGCUGACUUCUGAUAGGGCCUUGUGGCCUGAAAGGAAGGUCAUGCCUGCCUUUGGAGCCAUCGGUCAACCCAAGUCCCCGCCCUGUCCCUGAAACUUCAGAGAGGAGCCCAGCGAAGCGAAGUGUGGGCUAUGUGCUGUGAGGUGACUCAGUGGCCCCUCAUUCUUGGGACGGGAACAACUGAAAGAAGUGAAUGAUAUAAAGUCAGGUGGUGAGAAAGCAAAUGACAGCAGG